rnacentral:rRNA from 1 species
GACGAACGCUGGCGGCGUGCUUAACACAUGCAAGUCGAACGGUGACGAGGAGCUUGCUCCUCUGAUCAGUGGCGAACGGGUGAGUAACACGUGAGCAACCUGCCCCAGACUCUGGGAUAACAGUUGGAAACAGCUGCUAAUACCGGAUACGAGACGGAGAGGCAUCUCUACCGUCUGGAAAGUUUUUCGGUCUGGGAUGGACUCGCGGCCUAUCAGCUAGUUGGUGAGGUAAUGGCUCACCAAGGCGACGACGGGUAGCCGGCCUGAGAGGGCGACCGGCCACACUGGGACUGAGACACGGCCCAGACUCCUACGGGAGGCAGCAGUGGGGAAUAUUGCACAAUGGGCGAAAGCCUGAUGCAGCGACGCCGCGUGAGGGAUGACGGCCUCGGUUGUAACGUCUUCUAGCAGGAAGGAAGACGAAAGUGACGGUACCGUGUCAGAAGAAGACACCGGCUAACUACGUAGUCCAGCAGGCCGCGGUAAACGU